GUGAAGUGUCAGCUCUCUGAGACCCACAUGGAAGUGGCAAACACAGGACGGAGAGGCGCUGUAUAUCCUUCACUCAGCUUCCCGCAAUAAAAGCGUCUUACAUUUGUAUAAUCACAGCCGCUGGUCGCUGAGGACGGGACACGUUCCGAGAAACGCCUCGUUAGGCGAUCCUGUCGUUGUGCGAACACCAUAGCAGGUGUACAUCGUUGUAUAUUUGGAUUUCUGUGUGGAUUACAUCAUGUUCACCACCCAAAGACCACCAUCCACCACCACACACCUGUGCCUAAUCACCCCUGCCACCUGCACCCCUCCCCCUUCC
rnacentral:lncRNA from 1 species